AUUGAACGCUGGCGGCAGGCCUAACACAUGCAAGUCGAGCGGAUGCACGGAGCUUGCUCCUGCAUUCAGCGGCGGACGGGCGAGUAAUGCCUAGGAAUCUGCCUGUUAGUGGGGGAUAACGUCCGGAAACGGGCGCUAAUACCGCAUACGUCCUGAGGGAGAAAGUGGGGGAUCUUCGGACCUCCCGCUCUCACAUGAGCCUAGGUCGGAUUAGCUAGUUGGCGGGGUAAAGGCCUACCAAGGCGACGAUCCGUAACUGGUCUGAGAGGAUGAUCAGUCACACUGGAACUGAGACACGGUCCAGACUCCUACGGGAGGCAGCAGUGGGGAAUAUUGGACAAUGGGCGAAAGCCUGAUCCAGCCAUGCCGCGUGUGUGAAGAAGGUCUUCGGAUUGUAAAGCACUUUAAGUUGGGAAGAAGAGCAGUAAGUUAAUACCUUGCUGUUUUGACGUUACCAACAGAAUAAGCACCGGCUAACUUCGUG
rnacentral:rRNA from 1 species